UUAGUAACUCUCAAAUGGUGUAACCCAUUUGGUUAAUAAACACCAUGAAGUUACAACUUUUAAGCUCCUUGAUGGAAGGAGAGUUAUGGAAAUCUUCAUUUAAAAGGGUCCCUAGUCUAGCUUAUAUAUAUGGCCUGUCUCCAUCAAAAGGAAAUAUGUAAGGUGAAGGUCAUAGACUAAAAGACCCUUUUAUAUACACUAUUAUCAUAUAGUGAGUCUUCUUUUUCUCUCAACACUUAAACAACUAUGGCUGAAGGUAUGUCUAUGUUAUUUUGUUUCCGCUGCACUCUGAAUUUUGUCUUACAAACACUUCAUUUUCUUCUUUGACUUUCUCAAAGAAAUAAGACUCAAGAAACUCUUUUGCUCCCAUUUCCCACGGGUCCAUGCAAAUCAGAAAUUUGCACCUUACUUUAUCUUUUUCUCUUAAGGAAAGAGCUAGGAAGCUCUCUUGAUUCUUUCUCUCAAAACCCACAGUCAACACCUCAAAAGAAAGAUGAAGCUUCAUCUCAUUUCUUCUUCAUAUUCUCUUAAAGGAACCAAAAAACUCUCUCAAGCUCUCUACCAUUCUUUCAUGAGUGGUUCUAUGUCUAUUUUCCCCACAAGAACCAUAAACUUGGUGUUACCAGUAUCCAGGUCUAAGCUCCUUCGACUUUAGGCUCUCGGUUCCUCUGCUUUCAGUUAGCAGGUUUUAUUUUGGAGCAGAGGGAGCCUUAGUCGAGUUUGGAAGGAGUUGGUUUUUGUUUUAUAUGUACAGAUCCUAAGUUAGCAUUCUGACGUUUAGCUUUAUAGUUAUUGUGUAUUCUAGGAUCAAAUGAAAGUUGUGUACCUUAAAGUAUUAGGAGAUGUAUUAUGUAAAAGUAUGAAAUUAAAUGACUGGUGGAUUAUGUUA